rnacentral:piRNA from 1 species
UAUUAAUUGUGCAAUUCUAUCUCCUGGGC